CCCUUAGCUGUUCUGGGCCGCCCGCGCGCUACACUGACGAAUGCAACGAGCUUAUAACCUUGGCCGAAAGGUCUGGGUAAUCUCCAAAUUUCGUCGUGAUGGGGAUAGAUUAUUGCAAUUAUUAAUCUUCAACGAGGAAUGCCCAGUAAGCGCGAGUCAUCAGCUCGCGUUGAUUACGUCCCUGCCCUUUGUACACACCGCCCGUCGCUACUACCGAUUGGAUGGUUUAGUGAGACCCUCGGAUCGGUCCCGACUCGGGGUGGGCUUCUGCCCCGGUCGUGGUUUCGCCGAGAAGACGGUCAAACUUGACUAUCUAGAGGAAGUAAAAGUCGUAACA
rnacentral:rRNA from 1 species